AACGAACGCUGGCGGCAUGCCUAACACAUGCAAGUCGAACGAGACCUUCGGGUCUAGUGGCGCACGGGUGCGUAACGCGUGGGAAUCUGCCCUUGGGUUCGGAAUAACAGUUGGAAACGACUGCUAAUACCGGAUGAUGACGUAAGUCCAAAGAUUUAUCGCCCAGGGAUGAGCCCGCGUAGGAUUAGCUAGUUGGUGGGGUAAAGGCCUACCAAGGCGACGAUCCUUAGCUGGUCUGAGAGGAUGAUCAGCCACACUGGGACUGAGACACGGCCCAGACUCCUACGGGAGGCAGCAGUGGGGAAUAUUGGACAAUGGGCGAAAGCCUGAUCCAGCAAUGCCGCGUGAGUGAUGAAGGCCUUAGGGUUGUAAAACUCUUUUACCCGGGAUGAUAAUGACAGUACCGGGAGAAUAAGCCCCGGCUAACUCCGU
rnacentral:rRNA from 1 species